UCCUCGUUUAAGCGAGGCAGUCUGUCCAGAGUGCUUCGAACUCUCGUUCAAGUGGCAACAGGACAUAAGGGUUGCGCUCGUUGCGGGACUUAACCCAACAUCUCACGACACGAGCUGACGACAGCCAUGCAGCACCUGUGUAUCCUGAUAUUGCUAUCUCGUCAGGUUUUCACCCUUCUACUAGAUACAUGUCAAGGCCAGGUAAGGUUCUUCGCGUUGCAUCGAAUUAAGCCACAUACUCCACCGCUUGUGCAGGCCCCCGUCAAUUUCUUUGAGUUUUAAUCUUGCGACCGUACUUCCCAGGCGGCAUAUUUAUCGCGUUAGCUUCGCCACAAAAGGGUUGAGCCCUCCUACUUCUAGUAUGCAUCGUUUACGGCUAGGACUAC
rnacentral:misc_RNA from 1 species